rnacentral:rRNA from 1 species
GGCGUUGCCCUCAGACAUGCAAGUCGAACGAUUUUAAUUCUUUUUAAACUUCCCUUCGGGGAAGAUAUAAUAAGUGGCGGCAACGGUGUGAGUAACACGUAAGUAAUCUACCCUUCGAGUGGGGGAAUAACGUCCGGAAAACGGACGCUAAUACCGCAUAAUGCAAGCGGCACCUAAUGGUGACAGUUUGUUUUAAAGGAGCAAUUCGCUUGAAGAGGAGCAUUGCGGCAGAUAAUCAAGAUAAGCUAGUUGGUAAGGUAAUGGCUUUUACCAAGGCUACGAUCUGUAAACCGGUCUAAGGAGGACGGUCGGUUCACACUGACACUGAAAUAACGGGGUCGACUCCCUACGGGAGGCAGCAGUCGGGAAUUUUGGGCAAUGGGCGAAGCCUGACCCAGCAACGCGCGUGAAGGAUGAAUUGAAGUAUUUCGGUAUGUAAACUUCGAAAGAAAUGGAAGAAUCAAUGACGGUACCAUUUAUAAGGUCACGGCUAACUCCGUGCCAGCAGCCGCGGUAAUACGUAGGGAACCAAGCGUUGUUCGGAUUUUACUGGGGCGUGUAAAAGGGCGCGGUUAGGCGGCAAUUCAAGUCAAUCUGUGAAAUCUCCGGGCUUACUCGGAAACGGUUCAGAUGAUACUGCUUUGCUAGAGUGCGGAAAGGGGGCAAUCGGGAAUUCUUGGUGUAGCGGCCUGUGAAAUGCGUUAGAGAUAUCAAGAGGAAAACACCUGAGGUGAAGACGGGUUGCUGGGCCCGACACUGACGCUUGACAGCGCGAAAGCCAGGGGAGCAAACGGGAAUUAGAUACCCCGGUAGUCCUGGGGCCCUAAACGAAUGAAUACUUGGUGUCUGGAGGUUAUUAGUGCUCACGGGUUGCCGUCGCUAACGUUUUUAGUAUUCCGCCUGGGGGGGAGUACGGCUCGCAAGAGUGAAACUCAAAGGAAUUGACGGGGACCCGCACAAAGCGGUUGGAGCAUGUGGUUUAAUUCGACGCAACGCGAAGAACCUUACCUAGGCUAGAAAAUGUGAGGGAAGAGAGGGUAAUUCCGAUUCGGCCCGGGAAACCGGACCCAAACAAGGUUGGCUGCAUGGCUGUCGUCAGCUCGUGUCGUGAGAUGUUGGGUUAAGUCCCGCAACGAGGCGCAACCCCUAUCGGGUAGUUUGCCAUCAUUAAGUUUGGGAACUCUACCGAGACUGCUGUUGAUAAACGGAGGGAAGGGGGGUGGGAUUGAUGUCAAGUCCAUCAUUGCCUUUAUGCUUAGGGCUACACACGUGCUACAAUGGCCGGUUACAAAAACGUUACGAUCCCGCGAGGGGAGUGAACGUUAAUCGCUAAAAACCGGUCUCAGUUCGGAUUGAAGUCUGCAAACUCGACUUCAUGAAGCUGGAAUCGCUAGUAAUCGCGGAUCAGAACGCCGCGGUGAAUACGUUCCCGGUCUUGUACACACCGCCCGGUCACAUCACGAAAAGUAGGUGUUGUACUAGAAGUAGCAGGGCCUAACUCGCAAGAGAGGGCAUGUUACCACGGUAUGAUCUAUGAUUGGGUGUG